AUUUUCGGAUAAUCGCGUGGUAGUAAUUUACCAUGAGGAAAGUCCAUGCUAGCACCAGCUGCAAUGCUGGUAGUGUUUGUGCUAGGCGAACCAAUAAGCCUAGGGACGUCUUUGACGUUACGGCGGUUAAAAUGGCUACGUCCUUGGAUAUGCCAGAGUAGGCCUGAAAGUGCCACAGUGACGAAGUUUUUAUGGAAACGUAAAAAAUGGAACGCGGUAAACCCCUCAAGCUAGCAACCCAAACUUUGGUCGGGGCAUGGGAUGGAUGGAACGGUACUCCCAGAGUAGAACAGAAAUCCUGACUGCGUAAGCGGUAGACAGAUGAUUAUCGAAGGUGGUAGGACCUAGUACCACUGGAACAAAACAUGGCUUAUAGAA
rnacentral:RNase_P_RNA from 1 species